CAUUAUGAAGAGUAAGGGAAGAAGUUAAUGCAAAAGAACCUGUACAAGUUACUUUUACUUUGUAACCAUUAGGUAAAGUUACAAGAUAAGGAACACUCAAAGGUAUGAUGUUAAAGAGUAGGUUUUUAUCAUGUGUCAUAUGAUUAGAUGCCCCUGAACCAAUGAUCCAGGUAACAGAAUUAAUAUGUGUAAGCAUGCAUAAUUUGGAAUCAGAAACAAGACUCCCAGUCAACAUAGUACCAGCAAAAUUAGCAGCACACAUGGGAGGAGGAGCUUGAUCACUGGAAUCCCC
rnacentral:lncRNA from 1 species